GCUCGGGCAGUGCGAUGCUGGUGCAAACGCUGCCGCAUGGACACAAGGGCACACCUGGCAGGAGGGUCGUGAUUUGGUACAGACCUAAACUGCACUUAACACUCCUGCAAGCUUAAUAGUGCCUUUUGUAACAUAUUUUUUUAAUUACACUUUUGUUCUUUUAGAAGUUUAAAAAAAAAGUGGCAUCCACUUACUAUGGGCACGUAAAAUAGUUUUUCUUCUGGGCUUUCUGAACAGAACAUGUUUUAAUGUCUCUCAGUUGGAUUAUUUGGUGCGACAGCUCUCCACUGGGGGAGAGCAUUCCUGUCUUAGAAAUUAUUCUUUAAAAGAUUUUUUUAAAAGCUCUUUCUUUAUAAUAAAGCCUAUUUCCAAUAAGCUGGGCAUUAGAAAGAGCUACUUGACACAGCUGCCUGUUGGUCAGUGAGAUGCCUGACAUGGAACUAGGGUGGGAGGGGGUGUGGAGGAUGUCAUUCUUUAAGAGACAGUUUAAGAACCCCACAGCCGUGUCUUGCUGCACUACCAGGGACAUUAACUGACUCUUUCCCCAGGGUUCUUUUCAGUCUGGUUUUUCAUUGCAGUAGGCUCUGUGGUCACAAAUUCCUACUGGGUUUGGGAAUUAUUUUUAUUUUUUUUUUUUUAAUAAUUUAAUGGAAAUGAUGUUUUUGUCAUUCUGGAGAAAUGAUUCAGAUAAUGAGUCAAUUGCCUGAUCCCCUGUUAAAGCCAAAUUCCUGGGGUGAGGGGCCACAGCUGCUGUCAUCUACCCUGGCCCUUCUCCAGCCGUUGCCCUUUUAACAAGCUUGCUACAGAGAGGGAUGCAAACACUCGUACUUCUUCCCUUUUACUUGUAUUAUGUUUUGAUUUUUUUUUUUUUUUUUAAAUAUUUAAAUGUAUAUUACUGGUAUGUACAUGUAGACAGACAACACCCCCUCCCACGUUUCACUUUGUAAUUUUGGUUUGGUUUGGUCAAGAGAGUAUUUUUUUUACCUGUCUUAUCUAAUGCGCAUUUAGUCCAGUUGUACUGCAUCUUUAAGAGGUCAUUUUUCUAACAAUAUCUACUUCAGCUAUUAAAAUAAAUAAAUAGCCAUCUA
rnacentral:lncRNA from 1 species